UUACAACACCUGACGAGCCGCGCAAGGCGCGGCUGAUUGGCGCUCCUAAAAGUCCAUUGCCCGCCUUGCAAAGCCAUGGAAAACCUGUUACAGCAGCGACAAUACGAUCUGGGCCGGGUUACUUGGAGGUUCCGUUUGUUGCGACGCAUGAGAACAAGCGGGGGCGGGGCUACUGCAGGUUAGUGAGGGGUUAUGUUUUUUGCCUUGCCUCCUCAAUGAUUAUUGCUAAUUGGGUAUUGACUGGCAGUUACUCACCUGUCUGCGCUGUCCAACCCGUAGGUGCCUGGUUGAGGCUAUCGAGGAAAUUGCUCGGGCGCUUGGGCUACAGAAGCUGAUGCUGUGCAGCACGAAUGACGCCUCCGUGCAGAGUACGUGGCAACACCUGGGGUUUGGGUAUGCAUCGGACGAGCAGAUGGAGGAAUGGGACAUACUACACACGGACCUUGUGUACCUGCAAAACACAACUCAGAUGCAUAAAGAUGUACCGCCACAUCGACGGCUUAAGCCUGUUUUAAUUAAGCAUGAAGCUUUCCGGCAACGCUGCUAUGCGUUCGUGGGGCAAAAGCGGCCGCAGCACACUGCAGGUAGCUUACACGCGGCAAGUCUGCCGCAGGCGUCCAGACCGCGAUUAAGCAGCAAGCGCAGCGAGAGCACAAGCAGGGACGAGUCACAGUCGGUUGCAGCUCGCGAACACCCCUCGGCAGCGGGGGAGGUUGGCCCAGCGGAAAAAGCCGGCAGUGUUGCGGGUCACCCUCUUCAGCUUGAUGAAAGCUCGCCCAUUGCAGUUGGUGCACUAGCUGUGACAGCACAGGCAGCUGCCAGUGUAACUGGGCGCAUGCACGGCAGGCUGCCCACUGAUGAGGUGGGCCGAACGACAGCUGGACUCGCGCGCGACGAGGGCAUCGCGGGUGGAGGACCCCCAACUCCACAGCCAGCCGACGCUGGUCACUUGCGUCCUCUGCACGUGCAUGCGACAUCCGAUGUGCCAAGUGCCUCGCAGACAAAUGUGGCGCGCCCCGUCCGCUCUUCCGCCGCUGACUCCGUGAACGGCCUUGCACUUAGCGGACCGGAGAAUACCGCAAUAUGCGACAGAAGUGCACCUGGCACGCGGAACGGUCACGGCAUUCUGGUUGACGGCAGGUCUGGGCCUGCCGCAAUGCUGGCGGAGGCGAAAAGUGCAGCGAUUGGAGCUCCAGCAGAAGGGCGCGGUAUGGGAUGCAUCCACUCGCACGGUUCCUUAGCGGCCACGGGUAAGGCUGGCCUGGGCCAUGGUAAAGGUGGGGCUGAGGCUGUAGAUUCAGAACAGGUGCAUGGAGGGCCAGGUCUCCAGGCCACUGUGGAUACAGGCCCUCGGGCGGGGGUUGAGCACAACGUAUCGGGAACAGUACUUCCAUCGCACUUGGGCGAACCACCUGGCAUGCAUACUGGCUCUGCGCUGUGCGCAGGACCUUCGGCAUUAACUACUGCACCAUCGUCGGGGCUGCAACCGCGCUUGGCAGGGUUGCCGAGGGGUGGCCAUGGAGGUGCGCAAUCUGGGGAAGUGCAGCCAGUAACUAAUGAUUCACAGCCGAGUUAAUGAGUCGGGAUUAUUACAACCUGAUGAACGGAAUGGUCCCCCAUCCGCCGUGUGAUAUCCGCCGCGCCGCGCCCUUUCACAGGUUUAUGUUGAUGUGCUUAAGCGUGCAUGGUUGCGUGUAGAUGCUAGGCAUGAAGGGCUUCAGAGUUCAGCGGGGGAAACUUAGGACUCGGGAUUGACCGAGGUCUACAAGGUUGGUACGGGUUCAGUGCUGUUGUCGGUGGUCUUUAGUGGCAGUUAUCAGUAGGCUUAGGCAGCAUGUUAAGUGCCAAUUUUACGGGACAUGGCAAUUACUUCUACAAAUCCCAUAACCUAGGUCCCAGGUGCAGUCAGUGGGUCUCACGUUUCUGCGCCUUUGGCAGGUUUGGCGAUCACAGUUAGGAAAUGAUGUCCCUCGCGCUGUGGAUAGCGUGUUUUUUGGAUGGCAUGUACAACUUCAGGCUAAUGACAGAGGUGCGUGUUUCAGGAGUCCUGCAGUGACUUAAGUAUAGCAGGCAAGGGGAUUGUUUGCCGGAGGUGCCAGUUCUGUGUAUCGACACUUUGGGGUAAAUCCGACGUGCAAUUCUCGUUCGGUGCCCAUGUUUAUUACUUGCGUGCCCUGACGCUCGCAAAAUGUUUAGUUGCAUAGCAUCCUGCGACUGCUGCCUGGCGCUAGAGUGACGUGCCUUUAAAACAAUGCCGGCUACAAAAGCCAAUCCCCGGGUAUGUGACAGUUGCUGCGAUGUAAGCAAUGAGGUGGGGAUGACGAGAUGAACGAUGCGCUUGUGUGUGCCUUUCCUGUGAAGUGCUGUUGAGAUGACAGUGUCAUUCCUUCUUUCCAACUCUAAAGGUAGGUGGUUUCAGUAUGGUAUUUAUUUAGAGAAGUUCCAUCUAUUCCGCUGUGCGACUAGCAAUUCAACUGGCGGCCUACGCAGUAGCCCCAAACUAAAGCUACAGCCCAGCCACACAUUUCGUAACCACUUGUAGUAUGAGCUUCCGAUAUCCAUGCGUCGAUACGUUGGAAAACGGCAGCUGCGACGGAGGUAGGCAGCAUUAGUCUUAUUUGACGGCACUGUACGGACGGUGACGGAACGCACUUUCGGACGGCAUCUGGCAGAGCUAAAACAUCCGAUUUGUGUCACAGAGGAUUUUGUAUGACGAUAAUUGGGUACCUUUCCCUCUUGCUAAGCUAACAGAGCUGACGUUUAAGGGAUCCUACUGCUGACCGGGUAACAUUUUUAAAAAACCACCAUAAAAGCUGCAGCACCGCAUCAGUAUAUCGAAAGGAUUUCUAAUGUGGACGUCCCCAAACAGCUCCCUGCAUUACGUAUAUGGGCGACAGUGUAUAGCUUUUGUUUCUACUUGGCUCACCUCCGCACAUUCCCACGGACAGCAGUGAGCGCACGAUGACCGAAAACAUUUCAAGUCGUAUGCGUACAGUUUUAGGUUGACAAGAGGCAUAAGCUUAGGGCCCAGAACAGUGAAAAUGUAUAUGCUAGACCAGCAUCAACAUGCGACACAAUAUACUAUUUACGUGACCUUGUGCGAUAUUCGUUGCUAUGGGAAAGCAUAUGACACACAAAUGGGUGUAUCCGGCGGUUGCCUCAACUGUAGGCAUGAUGGCCCACGGUCAUGCAUCAUGUCAGCCGUAAUUAAUUGCAUCAAAAUUCAUAGGAUGCCC
rnacentral:lncRNA from 1 species